UUAAUUGAGGACUUUUUGUAAGUAAAAGAACUUAAACAGCAAUAGAAGAUGCAUGUCCAAUUAACAAACAAAACAUGCAUGGUCCAAAAGAUAAUUGUGGGUCUGUCAGACAACCCCAGGAUCGCCCCAGCCGGAUGGGAACCACCAGCUGAGAACGAUCCCCUACCGUGAGAGAACUCGAGAGAUCCCCACCGUUAAUCACGCUCCGAUCCUGAGGUCCUGAAUCAUCAAUCAGACUUUUGUGCCUGUCUCGUUAGAGUUCUAAGAGACAGUUGUACGAACCUAUAGAACAGAUCCUGUUCAAGUAAGGUCGUGCUUUGUUCUCCCGUUGGGGUUCUAAUGUACCUUGAAGAUAUCUUGGGAAUUGUGAUGUGGGACUAAGUGUCGUCGUUGUGGAUCCACUCGGCGUGUCAUCCGACGUCGUUGUCGCGAGUCCAGAUUCGUGAUUGGUGAGUGGUGCUGUGGACUGUAUCAAAAAAUGGUGCCAAUGGAUCCCGAUCGAUGGAUUUUUGUUUUUGUUUUUCGAGGUUGCUGCUUUUGAUAUUUCUCAGAUGUUUUUAUUCAUCAUAAUUCUUGAGAUAUGUUUCUAAAACACCACAUUACACCAUAUUGAUUGGUUGACAUGAUGAAUCAGUUCAUCAAUUUAGAUCGAUCACUACUGAACUAUGGAUCACUCUAAUUCUCACAUGUAACAUUUAUAGUGAUAUUUAUAAUAUAUUUGAAUAGAUUUAUAAUUUUUUUAUUGAAAAACAUUGUGAGUGAAGCAAAUGAAUACAAAACCUUAUCUAAAUCAGCUCAUACAUAAAAAUCAAUUUUUAAAUAAUUUUAAUUGUUCAUAAAUAAGAGCAACCAACUUCUAUAUCAAUUAUUUUAGUAUUUUUAACUAUGUUUACAAUAUUUUUAUCACAACUACUUUUAGCACUUCCAUCAAAACACUAUAAGCUCGCUUAUUUAGAAACACGACUACUUAAAAAAUUGAAUAUUUGAUCAAAAUGUUAUCUCUAUCUAUUCGGUUGACACUCGACUAAUAUAUCAGUUCUACUUAACUGACAUUCCAAGCUUAAGCGAUCAAUACAUCAUGCGGGGCUCAUGUAAGACUAAUAAUAUUGUACCGAAAAGAGAUUCAUACAUUUGCAUGAGAUUGAUCACAUAACGUUAAUGAUAAAUUGUUACUCUAUAUCUUUAGAUUGAUUUCAUAAUCUCAUUAAUGACCAAAUAAUAAUUCCUAUUUAACUUUGACCUCAACCCAAUAGUCACAUAUGACAUAAUAAAAGACUCAAAUAUAUUUAUAUCAUUUUGUCACGAGAUGAAUAACCAAAAUUUAUCAUAACAAUAAUAAUAUUAAUUUAAACAUAUAUAAAGUUUAAUCAUAUAUAUAACUAUAUAAUAUUAUUUUAACACAUAGGCUUUGUCAACUUUUACUUAUAUUCCAUUGACUUGUCACCUAACUGCAUCUUUACACGCAUAUUCUCUGGGAGACUUGGUUUAGGCUUCAACACCUGCAUUUAGAGUCGAAUGAUUAAGUAGAACUUGACUUUGCGCUUAAAAGCAAGUAAGGUAGUAUGCUGAUCUGACAUUCUUGGAAACUUGAUAGCUACUUAGUUCUUAUCUUAUAACAUCCUAUAUUUACUUUCAUUCAUAUCCUAUGCUGCUACCUUUUUAUUUAUCAUUGAUAUUAAAUAUAACACAUCAAUAAAGUGUACAAAUUUGAAUAUCCUAAAUUGCUAAAUAAAAUAAUAAAGUUUUCCUUAUGCAAAUUGAUAUUUAACAUCUAUACAUAGAUUAUACAAAUUAAUGUUUAACAUCUACACAUAGAUUAAUAUUUUUAGUAUAACAUUUUUAUUUUUUUAUUUAAUUAUCUAUUACUCCAUCAAUAUUGUUUACAUAUUGUUUAAACUUCAAACUUAUUUUAGACAAUCUUAUUUUAGACAUAAUCAAAACUAAUUCAAACCCGGAGAAUCACUUAUAAUCAUCAUGUAUAUAUUUAUUGUCAUGAUAUAACUUCAUAUUUAACUACACUAGUAUGGCUUAUUAAGUUGAAUGAUUUUUUUUUGUAAAAUAUCUACGUAGGUGCUGAUGCUUUUAUAUAUUUUGUUAGCAUAAAAAUUGUUAAAUUCUAUAUGUAAUACAGAAAAAAAAAUCUUUUAUGCUAGGAUUGAAAUCAAAUAAUAUUAGAUUGGUUUUACGUACCUUUUGAUGUCAUAUGAAAAUGAUCUCUAUAUGAUAUUUAAAGACAUCGUCUUUGGAUCCAAAACUAGAUUCUCCUUCUCCUCUUUUUUUAUCCUUUUACAGGACCACUUAGAUUGAUGAUUCAAAGAGGUUGAGAAAGAAACUGUAAUCUCUCAACUACGUCCUCUAUUAGAUGUGUUCUUUAGUCUUUAGAUGUCUUAUCUAUUUAUAGGAGAGAGCAGAGUGUCUAGGAUAAGUUAUUAGGAGAGUUCCUCACAUCCCUGAAUCUUACUUUGGACUUCUUUUCUAUUGGCUAAUAUCUAUCAUUAUAAUUUAAUUAGUUCUAUUAUAUAUUUUAUUUAAUUAUAAAGGGUCACAUAAUCUAAUAUUCUCCUACUUGACCAAAUAAUUGAUAAGAUAUAAAAUAUAUUCAAAAUCAAAAUAAAUAAAAUAAAAUUUAUUUGAAAAUAAUUUUAUAUAAUUGGAUUCUAAAAUUUUUUUGAAAAGUAUUUUAUACAUGACCAUGAAUUUUAAAAACAAGCCAAUAAACAUAAUAAUACUACAUUAAAUUCAACUAUCAAUGCGCGUCAUAACGGUUGUAUAUCAUCAAUGUCAUACUCUCUUCUAUAUACCACAAUAUUGUUAGUAUUUCCUAAUAUAAUUUAUAAUGACCUUUGUAAUUUAUCUUGUCAAUAUAGUCUUGUUAUUACAUUCAACUAUAAUAUGCAUAAAUAUAAAUAUAAAUAGGAUAACAAAAAUAAAUAACUUUAAUUAUGCAAAAGAAAUAGCAAUAAUAGCAUCCAUCUAAACAUGCAUUACCAUAUCUUUUAUGGCUUACUCACAAGCCUCAUUCUAGGAACAUGAUCUUUAAAUAUUUUACAUUGUAAAGCUUUAGUAAAUGGAUCAGCAAUCAUUAUGGUGCUGCUUAUAUUCUUAAUUAACACUUACUGUUUCUCGACUCUUUUUCUAACCACAAAGUACUUUAUCUCGAUGUGCUUGGAACCACUAGAGUAUUUGUCAUUCUUAAAGAAAAAAAUCUGCUACGACAUUAUUAUAAAAUAUCAUCAACGGUCUUGUAAUUGAGUCAACCACACCAGUCCUAAGAUAAAAUUUCGCAGCCAUAAAGCUUGAUUUGUAGACUCAAAGCAUGCCACAAAUUCAGCUUCCAUUAUUGAUGAUACAAUAAGUGAUUGCUUUAUAUUUUUUUAAAAAAAUUGCCCCACCAGCUAACAUGAAUACAAAUCCUGAAGUGGAUUUCUUGUUGUCGAAGUAAUUUACAAAAUCAACAUUUUAAAUAUUUAAUCACUUCAAGUUGAUCUGAUCUCCUAUAUGCGAGCAUAUAAUCUUUCGUCUCAUAUAGAUAUCUCAUUACUUUCUUUCUAGCCUUCCAAUAUUUUAUUCCUAAGUUGCUUUGAUAUUUACACCUAUAAAGAAUAUUUUUUUUUAUUUGAUUCAUUUCUAAGUCAUUUCUUGGGCACUGAUUUUGAUUGAAUUUUUCAUCUCUAGUAAUAAGUAUAUUAUUGGUUGAACAAAGUAGUAUAUUAAAUCUCUCGAAUAUAUGAUUAGUAUAUACUUUCUGAGACAUUCCUAAUAAUCAUUGAGAUCUACACAUGAAUAUCUCAAUGCCAAUAACAUAGGUUGCCUCAUUCAUAUCAGACAUCUUAAAGUUUUUUCUGAGAAAUAUCUUGGUUUCGUGCAAUAAACCAAGAUCACUAUUGGUAAAUAAAAUAUCAUCCACAUAAGACUAAUAUAAUAAAUUUGUUCUAACUUACCUUCAAAUAUAUGCACUGAUAAACAAUGUUUUUCUUAAAUCUAAAGAAAAUAAUGGUAUCAUGAAACUUUAUAUAUUAUUGUCUAAAAGCAUGUUUAAAGUCAUACAUGAAUUUCUUAAGUUUACAAACCCAACUUUCUUUUCCCUUUUGUAUGAAUCUUUCAAGUUUUUCCAUAUAUAUUUCCUCAUCAAAAUCCCCAUUCAAAAAUAUUAUUUCACAUCCAUUUGAUGUAACUUAAGAUCAUAAUGAUCUACUAAUACAAUGAUGAUUCUCAACGAGUUCUUUCUAGAAACUAGAAAAAAAGUCUCAUUAUAGUCGAUGUCUUCUUUUUUAGAAAAACCUUUGGUCACAACUCUGGCUUUAUAUCAUUCGAUAUUGUCCACUAAGUCACGGUUUAAUAACUGACUCUUUUAUAAUUAUUAAAAAAAUUAAUGAGUUCUCAAACACCAUUAUGGUCGAUUGAUUUUAUUUUAUUUUAUUUUUUAUUACAUCAUACUAUUCUUCAGAAUUAUUACUUUCUAUGGCUUGUGAAAUGAUAAGGGGUCUCAUUUUAUUCCUAUAUCAUAAUUUGAUUUUUAUAAAUAUACCAUAUAAUCAUCAAAAAUGACAUAUUUUUUUUCUUUUGAAAUCUUCUCAAAACUACCAAUUGUAAUUAUUCUACAAAAUCAUCAACGACGAUAGCAACAUCAUGUGAGAGUUUAUCGAUAAUAUUUUAUUGUUCACCCUCAUCAAUUCUUUCAUUGAUUUGAGGAACAAUAAUUUUUUGAAUAUGAGAUGAUAUAGGAGAAUUAAUUUGAAUCUUCUCAUUGUUCUAGGAAUCUUACGUUACCAGAUUCUAUUAUUCUGAUAGUAGGAACGGUGAUUACAAGAAUGCAUUCCAAAUGUAAGAUUGGAAAGAAUGUUAAGAGAAAAUUAACAUUUCCAAUUUGUAAUGAUGAGGUUUUCCCAUCUGCACAAGCACUCAGGUUAAGUGCUUCGCCCACGUUUACUUUAAACAUUGCCUGUAUACCAAUCAUGAAACCAAGGGAAUUUUUAAUUGAAUGAUUGGGAGAAGUAGCACUUGCCUGAUUGGGACCAGAUGUGGGCUAUAUAUAUAUAUAUAAAAGCUUCUUCGAGCUUUAUGGUACAAUGGAGAUGGAAGGAAUGUUCUGAUGCACUGACUGUUUGUUAAGGAGAGAAACAACAGAUGUAAUGUUUCUGGGCACAAUAUUUAUUAUUUUAAAUAAUGGGAUGAUACAACCCAACUAUUAUUAAAAAAGCAAAAAUUAUAUAUCCAUCUGAACUACAUGGAUAUAUACAAAUAUAAUUAUAUUUAUGUUUAGCAUUAGAUAUAUAUGUCUCAUUUUAACAACAAUUGAAGAUAGAUAGCAUGUCCAAUUAGCAAAAUAUGCACUUUGGCCAAGUUUUUGAUCCAUUCAAGUCCAAAAAUGUGUGUGGGUCUGUCAGACAACCCCAGGAUCGCCCCAGCCGAUGGGCACCACCAGCUGAGAACGAUCCCCUACCGUGAGAGACCUCGAGAGAUCCCCACCGUUAAUCACGCUCCGAUCCUGAGGUCCUAAUUCAUCAACCAGACUUUUGUGCCAGUCUCGUUAGAGUUCUAAAAGACAGUUGUACGAACCUUUAGAACAGAUCCUGUUCAAGUAAGGUCAUGCUCUGUUCUCCCGUUAGGGUUAUAAUAUAGCUUGAAGAUGUCUUCAGACACUGUGAUGUGGGACUAAGUGUUGUCGUUGCGGGUCCACUCGGCGAGUCAUUCGACAUUGUAAUAUAGUUUUUGAUACAUGAAAGUCCAAAAAAAGUGUGUGGGUCUGUCAGACAACCCCAGGAUCGCCCCAGCCGAUGCGGCAACAACAGCUGAGAACGAUCCCCUACUGUGAGAGACCUCAAGAGAUUCCCACCGUUAAUCACGCUCCGAUCCCGAGGUCCUGAAUCAUCAACCAGACUUUGGUGCCUAUCUCGUUAGAGUUCUAAGAGACAGUUGUACGAACCUAUAGAACAGAUCCUGUUCAAGUAAGGUCGUGCUGUGUUCGCCCGUUGGGGUUCUAAUAUAGCUUGAAUAUGUCUUCAGACAUUGUGAUGUGGGACUAAGUGUCAUCGUUACGGGUCCACGUGGCGAGUCAUCCGACGUCGUUGUUCCGAGUCCAGAUUCGUGAUUGGUGAGUGGUGCUGUGGAGUGUAUCAAAAAAUGGUGCCAAUGGAUCCCGAUCGAUGGAUUUUUGUUUUUGUUUUUCGAGGUUGCUGCUUUUCAUAUUUCUCAGAUAUUUUUAUUCAUCAUAAUUCUUGAGAUAUGUUUCUAAAAUACCACAUUACACCAUAUGGAUUGGUUGAUUUGAUGAACCAGUUCAUCAAUUUAGAUCGAUCACUACUGAACUAUGGCUCACUCUAAUUCUCACAUGUAAGAUUUAUAGUGAUAUUUAUAAUAUAUUUGAAUAGAUUUAUAAUUUUUUUAUUGAAAAACAUUUUGAGUGAAGCAAAUGAAUACAAAACCUUAUCUAAAUCAGCUCAUACAUAAAAUAAUUUUUUAAAUAAUUUUAAUAGUUCAGAAAUAAGAGCAACCAACUUCUAUAUCAAUUUUUUUAGUAUUUUUAACUAUGUUUACAAUAUUUUUAUCACAACUACUUUUAGCACUUCCAUCAAAACACUAUAAGCUCGCUUAUUUAGAUACACGACUACUUAAAAAAUUAAAUAUUUGAUCAAAAUGUUAUCUAUUUGGUUGACACUCGACUAAUAUAUCAGUUCUGCUUAACUCACAUUCCAAGCUUAAUCGAUCAAUACAUCAUGCGGGGCUCAAGUCUAUAAGGCUAAUAAUAUUGUACCGAAAAGAAGAUUCAUACAGUUGCAUAAGCUUGCAUGAGCUUGAUCACAUAACGUUAAUGACCAAAUAAUAAUUCUUAAUUAACUUUAACCUCAACCCAAUAAUCACACAUGACAUAAUAAAAGACUCAAAUAUAUUUUCUCAAGGUUAUCUCUCUCGUACCCUAAAUUAUACCAUUUUUACUGGAUAUUUAAUUAAACUAUUUGAAUCAAUACUAAUUUAAAGUAUCAGAUGGAUCUCGUCAGAUAUAUCAUUUUGUCAUGAGACGAAUAAUCAAAAUUUAUCAUAACAAUAAUAAUAUUAAUUUAAAUAUAUAUAAAGUUUAAUCAUAAAUAUAACUAUAUAAUAUUAUUUUAACACAUAGGCUUUGUCAACUUUUACUUAUAUUCCAUUGACUUGUCACCUAACUGCAUCUUUACACGCAUAUUCUAUGGGAGACUUGGUUUAGGCUUCAACACCUGCAUUUCGAGUCGAAUGAUUAAGUAGAACUUGACUUUGCGCUUAAAAGCAAGUAAGAUAGUAUGCUGAUCUGACAUUCUUGGAAACUUGAUAGCUACUUAGUUCUUAUCUUAUAACAUCCCAUAUUUACUUUCAUUCGUAUCCUAUGCUGCUACCUUUUAUUUAUCAAUGAUAUUAAAUAUAACACAUCAAUAAAGUGUACAAAUUUGAAUAUCCUAAAUUGCUAAAUAAAAUGAUAAAGUUUUCCUUAUGCAAAUUGAUAUUUAACAUCUAUACAUAGAUUAUACAAAUUAAUGUUUAACAUCUACACAUAGAUUAAUAUUUUUAGUAUAACAUUUUUAUUUUUUUAUUUAAUUAUCUAUUACUCCAUCCAUAUUGUUUACAUAUUGUUUAAACUUCAAACUUAUUUUAGAUAAUCUUAUUUUAGACAUAAUCAAAACUAAUUCAAACCCGAAGAAUCACUUAUGAUUUAUUGUGAUACCAAAAUCUUUUAUAAUCAUCGUGUAUAUAUUUAUUGUCAUGAUAUAACUUCAUAUUUAAGUCCACUAGUAUGGCUUAUUAAGUUGAAUGAUUUUUUUUAAAAAUAUCUAGAAAAAAUCUUUUAUGUUAGGAUUGAAAUCAAAUAAUAUUAGAUUGGUUUUACGUACCUUUUGAUGUCAUCUGAAAAUGAUCUCUAUAUGAUAUUUAAAGACAUCGUCUUUGGAUCCAAAACCACUAUCAAUAUGUAGGAAGAACUAGAUUCUCCUUCUCCUCUUUUUUUAUCCUUUUACAUGACCACUUAGAUUGAUGAUUCAAAGAGGUUGAGAAAAAAACUGUAAUCUCUCAACUACGUCCUCUAUGAGAUGUGUUUUUUAGUCUUUAGAUGUCUUAUUUAUUUAUAGAAGAGAGCAGAGUGUUUAGGAUAAGUUAUUAGGAGAGUUCCUCACAUCCCUGAAUCUUACUUUUGACUUCUUUUCUAUUAGCUAAUAUCUAUCAUUAUAAUUUAAUUAGUUCUAUUAUAUAUUUUAUUUAAUUAUAAAGGGUCACAUAAUCUAAUAUUCUCCUACUUGACCGAAUAAUUGAUAAGAUAUAAAAGAUAUUCAAAAUCAAAAUAAAUAAAAUAAAAUUUAUUUAAAAAUAAUUUUAUAUAAUUGGAUUCUAAAAAAAUUUUGAAAAGUAUUUUAUACGUGACCAUGAAUUUUAAAAACAAGCCAAUAAACAUAAUAAUACUACAUUAAAUUCAACUAUCAAUGCGCGUCAUAACGGUUGUACAUCAUCAAUGUCAUACUCUCUUCUAUAUACCACAAUAUUGUUAGUAUUUCCUAAUAUAAUUUAUAAUGACCCUUGUAAUUUAUCUUGUCAACAUAGUCUUGUUAUUACAUUCAACUAUAAUAUGCAUAAAUAUAAAUAUAAAUAGGAUAACAAAAAUAAAUAACUUUAAUUAUGCAAAAGAAAUAACAAUAAUAGCAUCCACUUAAACAUGCAUCAUCAUAUCUUUUAUGGCUUACUCACAAGCCUCAUUCUAGGAACAUGAUCUUUAAAUAUUUUACAUUGUAAAUCUUUGGUAAAUGGAUCAGCAAUCAUAAUAUUGGUGCUCAUGUUCUCAAUUGACAUUUGUUGUUUCUGGACUUUUUUUUUCUAACCACCAAGUACUUUAUCUCGAUGUGCUUGAAACCACUAGAGUACUUGUUAUUCUUAAAGAUGAAAUCUGCUACAAUAUUAUCAUAAAAUAUCUUCAGCGGCCUAGUAAUUGAGUCAACCACACUAGUCCUGAGAUAAAAUUUCGUAGCCAUAAAGCUUGAUUUGUGGCCUCAAAGCAUGUCACAAAUUCAACCUCCAUUAUUGAUGAUGUAAUAAGCGAUUGCUUUCCACUUUUUAAAAAAAUUACCCCACCAGCUAACAUGAAUAUAAAUCCUGAAGAGGAUUUUUUACCAUCGAAGUAAUUUACAAAUUUAACAUUUUAAAUAUUCCAUCACUUCAAGUUGAUCUGAUCUCUUAUAUGCGGGCAUAUAAUCUUUCGUCCCUAUAGAUAUCUCAUUACUUUCUUUGUAGCUUUCCAAUGUUCAAUUCCUGGGUUGCUUUGAUGUUUACUCAGCAUCGUAACUAUAAAAUUGAUAUAUGGUAUUGUACAGGUUUGAGUAUAUAAUAUACUUCUAAUUGCACACCCAUAAGGAAUAUGUUUUUUUAUUUGAUUCAUUUCUAAGUCAUUUCUCGGGCACUAAUUUUGACUAUUUUUCACCUCUAGUAAUAGAUGUAUCAUUGGUUGAGUAAAACUGUAUAUUAAAUCUCUCGAAGAUACGAUUAGUAUAUACUUUUUGAGAUAAUCCUAAUAAUCAUUGAGAUAUAUUCCUGAAUAUCUAAAUGUCAAUAACAUAGACUACCUCAUUCAUAUUAGUCAUCUUAAAGUUUUUGCUGAGAAAUAUCUUGGUUUCGUGCAAUAAACCAAGAUAACUACUGACAAGUAAAAUAUCAUCCACAUAUAAGACUAAUAUAAUAAACUUGUUCCCACUUACCUUCAUAUAUAUAUGCACUGAUCAACAAUGUUUUUCUUAAAUCCGAAAAAAAAGUAAUGAUAUCAUUAAACUUUAUAUAUCAUUGUUUAGAAGCAUGUUUAAAGUCAUAAAUGAAUUUCUUAAGUUUACAAGCCCAAUUUUCUUUUCCCUUUUCUAUGAAUCAUUCAUAUUAUUCCAUAUAGAUUUCCUCAUCUAGAUCUCCAUUCAGAAAUACUAUUUUCACAUCCAUCUAAUGUAUCUCAAAAUCAUAAUGAUAUACUAAUACAAUGAUGAUUCUCAACGAGGCCUUUCUAGAAACUGGAGAAAAAGUCUCAUUAUAAUAGAUGCCUUCUUUUUUAGAAAAACCUUUGGCCAUAACUUUGGCUUUAUAUCAUUCGAUAUUGAGUCACGUUUUAUCUUAAAUAUCCAUUAACAACUGACUCUUUUACAAUUAUUGAAAAACUUAAUGAGUACCCAAACACCAUUCUGGUCCAUUAAUUUUAACUUUUCUUUUAUUACAUUAUAUUAUUUUUCAGAAUUAUUAUUUUCUAUGGCCUGUGAAAACGAUAAGGGGUCUCAUUUUAUUCUUAUAUCAUAAUUUGAUUUUUUAUAGAUAUACCAUAUAAUCAUCAGAAAUGACAUGUUUCCUUUUCCUUUGAGAUCUUCUCAAAGCCGUCAAUUGUAAUUAUUUUACAAGAUCAUAUGCGAUGAUAUCAACAUCAUGUGAGAGUUCAUCGAUAUUAUUUUAUUGUUCACUCUCAUCAAUUCUCUCAUUGAUUUGAGGAACAACAACUUCUAUGAGAUGACAUGGGAUAAUUAAUCUAAAUCUUCUCACUGUUCUAGGAAUCUUGCAUUAUUAGAUUCUAUUAUUCUCGUACUAUGAUUAGGAUAAUAAAAUCUAUAUUCGUUGGAUUUAUCUGGAUAAUCAAUAAAAUAUUCAAAAAUAGUUCUUGGAUCUAAUUUAUUUUCAUGUGGACUGAGCUUCCUACCUGUCCGUAACUCAAAUGAAGUUAAUAAAUUAAUUUACUAGGAACCCUAUUUAAGUUGUAUAUAGCAAGAAAAACUAAACUCUCACUCUUCUUAUCCUUUUAUAGGACUUAGAUUGAUGGUUUAAGGAAAUUGAGAGAAAAAUUGUAAUCUCUAUCAGAUAUAUUUUUUUAAUUCUUAAGGUCAUGUCUAUUUAUAAGCGAGAGUAGAGGGUCUAGAAUAAAUUAUUAUGAAUAGUUCUGACAUCUUCUAAAAAUUCUAUUUUAAUAUAAACAUCUCAACGAAGACGCGAUGCCGAUCAGCUUUCUGCAUGAAAAUGAUCAAUUCUAAGUGAAUUUGUGCCAACAUUGAUAGAUCAAAAAUAGGAAGAAGAUGAUUAUUGAGAUUCUUUGUAGUAUUCUUACUGGUAUUGGAGUUAUUGCAAAUGCGUCGUUCCUGAUGUCAAUCACCGUGAGGCUCUCUAAUUUCUCUUCUUUCUUUUAAGAGUUGCUUGUAUAACAAACAGUAACAUCUUGUCGUGUUCAUCGAAUGUACCGAGAAGCGGGAAUGGUGAUUAGAAGAAUACGUUCCAAUAAGAUCGGAAAGAAUGUUAAGAGAAAAUUAACAUUUCCAAUUUGUAAUGAUGAGGUUUUCCCUUCUGCACAAGCACUCAGGUUAAGUGCUUCGCCCACGUUUGCUUUAAACAUUGCCUGUAUACCAAUCAUGAAAACAAGGGAAUUUUGAAUUGAAUGAUUGGGAGAAGUAGCACUUGCCUGAUUGGGACCAGACGUGGGCUAUAUAUAUAUAUAUAUAUAUAUAUAUAUAUAUAUAUAUAUAUAUAUAUAUAUAUAUAUAUAUAUAUAUAAAAGCUUCUUCGAGCUUUAUGGUAUAAUGGAAUUGGAAGGAAUGUUCCGAUGCACUGACUGUUUGCUUCUGGGCACAAUUUUUAUUAUUUUAAAUAAUGGGAUGAUAUAAUCCAACUAUUAUUAGAAAAGCAAAAAUUAUAUAUCCAUCUGAACAACAUGGAUAUAUACAAAUAUAACUAUAUUUAUGUUUAGCAUUAGAUAUAUAUGUCUCAUUUUAACAGCAAUACAAGAUAGAUAGCAUGUCCAAUUAGCAAAAUAUGCACUUUGACCAAGUUUUUGAUCCAUUUAAGUCCAAAAAAGUGUGUGGGUCUGUCAGACAACCCCAGGAUCGCCCCAGCCGGAUGGGGUAACCACCAGCUGAGAACGAUCCCCUACCGUGAGAGAUCUCGAGAGAUCCCCACCGUUAAUCACGCUCCGAUCCCGAGGUCCUGAAUCAUCAACCAGACUUUGGUGCCUGUCUCGUUAGAGUUCUAAGAGACAGUUGUACGAACCUAUAGAACAGAUCCUGUUCAAGUAAGGUCGUGCUCUGUUCUCCCGUUGGGGUUCUAAUGUAGCUUGAAGAUAUCCUGGGAAUUGUGAUGUGGGACUAAGUGUCUUCGUUGCGGAUCCACGUGGCGAGUCAUCCGACGUCGUUGUUCCGAGUCCAGAUUCGUGAUUGGUGAGUGGUGCUGUGGACUGUAUCAAAAAAUGGUGCAAUGGAUCCUGAUCGAUGGAUUUUUGUUUUUGUUUUUCGAGGUUGCUGCUUUUCAUAUUUCUCAGAUAUUUUUAUUCAUCAUAAUUCUUGAGAUAUGUUUCUAAAAUACCACAUUACACCAUAUGGAUUGGUUGAUAUGAUGAAUCAGUUCAUCAAUUUAGAUCGAUUAAUACUGUACUAUCGAUCGCUCUAAUUCUUACAUGUAAUAUUUAUAAUAUAUUUGAAUAGAUUUAUAUUUUUUUUAAUAUGUGUACUAAAAUAUUAUAAAUUUAUUGAAAAAUAUUAUAAGUGAAGCAAAUGAAUACAAAACCUUAUAUAAAUCAGCACAUACGUAAAAAUAAAAUUUUUAAUAGUUUAGAAAUAAGAACAACCAACUUCUAUAUCGAUUUUAGUAUCUUUAAAUAUGUUUAUAAUAUUUUUAUCACAUUUAUUUUUAACACUUCCAUCAUUCAAAAACAUGAUUACUAAGAAAUUAAAUACUUGACAGAAUGUCAUCUCUGGUUGACACCUAGUUAAUAUUUUUGUUGAAUCUCGAAUUUUGAUGAGGAAACCAAUUAUAGUGUUGUUCUAAUAUGCGUUUGAGUGACGUAAGGCUAACGUCAAUCAGGAGAGGCAAAUUGAACAUGUUAGAAUAUUGGACGUCAGGUCAGAGGAACGGUCAACCGGUCGGCAGAAGGCUUCGGGUCGAGAAUUCGGGCAUCGAGCCUAGAAUAACGGACAUUGCGCCAAGGAGAUCGGAGUUGCGGAGGUCAACAUGCCGAUUGGGCAAAGGCCGCAAAAGAGGACGAAGCGCCAGAAGAAUCAAUGAUAUGCCGGACAACACAUGAUUAGUGCUUGUAAUAAUUUGCCUAGAUCGAGUUAGGUUUUAGAGUCUAAUUGAAUCGAUUUAGAAUGUAAUUAGAUCAACUAAAUUAUGGGUCAACUUGGCCCAAAAUAAGACUGUUUUGGGCUAAAAGAAAGGCUCAUUCAGUGACCUAAGUUUGAACUAUGUUGGGCCAAGUAGAAGGCCCAAAUAAUGACCCAACAGGUGACACAGUUUCUGAGACUGUGUCAGGUGGUAGUACCGCUCAGACAUAGUCUUCCAGGCGAUGGUACCGCCUAGUGUUAGUGCUGCAGGUGGUGGUACCAUUAGAACCCGGGAAAUCCGGGAUGAGACUUUUUUAGGCUCCAAGUUUGAAUCAAAUUGAAGCCUAUAAAUACCCUUCUCAUCCCUGGAUAAACUACACAAUUAAGAGCAAAAAAGAAAGAAAACUUUGUUGCAAUUGUGUGUGAAACUCCUAUCAAAGUUCUAAGUAUAGAAUAGUUUGAGAGAGGAGUAAGUGGGGGUGUAAGGGUUAUCUCCUAAACCCGAGAAUCGAGUUGUAAAAGGUGGUUGGUCUUCACCUAUUCAAGGAAGAUCGAUUGUGGAUAUCGGUGGCCUCGACGAAAGAGGAAUUGACGAAGUAAAUGUAGGUCACAACGACCGAACCACUAUAAAAUUUGUUUUAUAUUUACUUCUUGCAAUUUACACUGCAAAUUACCUUCAAUACAUUUUUGAACACGCUUUCAAUCUAAGCAUAUUUUCGGAAUCGAUUUUAAUCGUACGAAAAGUUUUCUUAAAUUGAUGUUUUUACCACUGCACUAAUUCACUUCCCCCUCUUAGUGUCGACUCGUUCCUAAUAAUUUCAUCUCUACUUAACUUACACUCCAAUCUCGUUCGAUCGAUACAUCAUGCGGGCUCGAGAUUAGCCAUGUAGCAUUAACGAUGAAUUGUUACUUUAUAUUCUUAAAUUCAUGGCAUGAUUUCAUAAUAUCAUUAACGAUCAUAUAAUCAUUCCGAUUAUCCCAACAUUAACUAUGACCUUAACCCAAUAGUUACAUAUCGCACUAUAAAAGACUUCAAUAUAUUUUUUCAAGGGUCGUCUCUUAUGCCCUAUAGUGAAUUAUACCAUUUUCAUUUGAUAUCUGAUCGAACUAUGUAAAUCAAUACUAAUUUAAGUAUCAUAUGGGUCUUGUCGGAUAUAUCAUGAUGCACUAUGUAAAUCAAAAUAUAUACCAAACUUAAAAGUUGAUAUUGGUUGGCUCUAUAAUUUUGCCAACAGUUGAAUAACCAUAAUUUAUCAUUACAACGAUAAUGUUAAUUUAAACAUGUAUAAAGUUUAAUUAUAUAUAUAAUUAUAUAAUUAUAUUUUAACACAUAAACUUUGUCAACUUUUAAAUAAAUAUAAAUUAUUGAUGUGACCUUUUCCAGUUAACAAAAUACGAGAUUUGAUGAAGUGUUUGACCCAACAUUCGAGUCGAACGUCCAAAAAACGUUUUUUUGGGUCUGUCAGACAACCCCAGGAUCGCCCCAGCCGAUGGGCACCACCAGCUGAGAACGAUCCCCUACCGUGAGAGACCUCGAGAGAUCCCCACCGUUAAUCACGCUCCGAUCCUGAGGUUCCGUGUCAUCAACCAGACUUUUGUGCCUGUCUCGUUAGAGUUCUAAGAGACAGUUGUACGAACCUAUAGAACAGAUCCUGUUCAAGUA
rnacentral:lncRNA from 1 species